rnacentral:lncRNA from 1 species
UAUCUUCCCCUCCCCCCACCUGUAGACGGCUCGUCGAGGCUUCCCCCCCACCUCUGCCCUUCACCUCCUUGACAGCCCGCAGCUCCUCCCCUUUCGCCGGUCUUCCUCCAGAUCCAGUCGGCAGUCGCACCUCCAGAUCCAGUCGGCCGGUCUUCCCUGUUGGCCGAUCUCCCUCCAGAUCCAGCCGCUCCUCCAGAUCCAGUCUCCCUGUCGGCCGGUCUUCCAGAUCCAGUCGGUCUUUCUUGCCGCUUCUGGUCGGAGUUUGAAGCGAAGUCAGGCUGGUGGCGGUGAGGGACGCAGAGUCCGGCGGCAGCGCACGGCACGGCGGAGGGCGUGGGGCCUAAUCGCCGCUGUGUGCUGGUUUGACCGGAGGCGGCGACCAUCCCUAAUAUUUUUCUUCAGAAAAUCUUGAUUUGGAAUGGUGUCAACCACUUUAGUGAGAUAUAUAGGCGGCCGCGGCUUGUCGCCGCUGCGACGCCGAUGUGCACCAAGGGAAACCCCUUCUUCUUCCAGAACNUGACCCACCCUACCCCCACGUCGCCGCCAUCGAAGCGUAGCCACGCUUCGCGCUAUCGCCCACGUCGCCCCGUCGUCGUCGAAGCCCAGCUCGCGCAUGAACGCCCAACCCAGGUCACGUCGCCCCGUCAACGUCCGCCGCCGCCAAAGCCCCCAUUUUCCGCCGCGGAACUAGGGCUCAAAGCCCAGCCCUUGUCGUCCAACCUUACAUGUAUCCAAUAUGCAAUAAAUAUUCAAUAUCUAAUGUAAUAUCUUUAGUUGAAAUAAAAUACUCCAUUAAUUAUUCAUUGAUAAUGUCAUUGGUUGAAACAAAAUUAUGUAAUAUAUGUGAAUCAACAAGGUUAAUUUUAACUUAUAAGAUUGGUCGGGUAUAUAAUUUGUCGACUUCGAAGGUUUUCAGAAUGAAAUAUAUAAAGCAGAACUAUGUUUUCAUAAGUAAUCAAAUAUAUAAUACGGUUAAGGAAUCAUGCGCUCUCCUUAAUCCGGGGUCCUACGUGGCAUCAUAAGAAAUUAGGAUUUUAAAUCCCAGCAAUUCUAGAGCAUUUGAGUUUAUAAUAUCUAUCCUAUGUGGCAAAAUACCUCUUACAUGGCAUAUCUUAUUUUAAACAAUCUCUUAAAACACAAAAUGAAUAUUUCUCUUCCUCAAAUUCAAUUUUCCUAACCCCCGUCUCCACACAGCUCUCCCCUCCCCCGUCUGAAAUCGGCGCCGCGAUUCGCGUCACCGCCGCUGCAGGCGUCGUCGCUCCAUCUCCACAGCAGACUCCCCCUUCGGCCCUUCCCUGCCCCUAUUCGCCGGCGGCGUGGCCACAGUCCAGCCCCAAGUUGCGCCGCCGCCCCUUCCCCUGCAAGCCCUUCCAUCUGCAUCGCCGCCUCUUUCUUUCUUCAAUCGGCGGCUCCACCCCCCACCGCUCUCUCCGCCGCUCCCGCAGCCUCAGCCGCUUCUCCCGCCCCAUUGCGCCGGAGCCGGAGGCCGAGAUGGACUACAUCAAAAACGUGCCCAGGGGAAAAUUCGUCAACACCACGAGGGGCUCGACCUCGCUGGCACCAACCGCGAAUCGCCGAGCCCCUAGAUCCCCAAAGUCUCACCGCCUCUUUGUGAUUUCCGGCGACCACGGCAGCCAUGUCCGCCGAUCUGCCACCUCCCUUCCCCCAUAUGGUAAGUAUUAAAUGUUUGACUAUUUUAAAUAUAGAAUGAUUAUUAUUUUAGNAGUAAUUUAUACGAUUUAGGUUUGAAUCAGAAUAUGAAUCAGGAUCUGGCACGGGUCAAUCCAAUUGUACGAUACACCUAGUAGUAUCCAAGAUCACCUCAAUAAAAAAAUAUUUCACAAUAUAAAUUAAAUUUUAUUUUCUGUCCUUAAAUUGUAAAAAUUUAUUGUGAAUUCAUUAAUUUAUUAGAUAAAUUUAUGAUCAAAAGUUUGAAUCUAUAGGGAUCAAAUUUGUACACAUCCAUAUAUAUUUUAUAUUGAAUUUGUAUAUUUUCAUAACAAAUUUAUACAUAUUCUACACAUAAUUCACAAAUUCAUAAUUUUUUUUAAGCAAAUUGUCUAUUAAAUUUAUACUACUUUUAUAAUGAAUUUGUACAAAUUCUAUAUAAAUUCAUGAUUUUAUAAUUUAUAUUUUAAAUAUUUAAAUUUAUUCCUAAAUUACAUAGAAAAUGGUUUACCAUUGAAAGUUCAUCAUGUACAUAAAAUACUACUAUCAUUUAUCACAUAUUACCACUUCAUGUAUUUCUACACAUCUAUCUCAUUUUCAAACUCAUUAAUGUUUUACAUUCUUUUGCAUUAAUUAAUACAAUAAAAUCAGACAUAUUUCCUCCUAAAUACAUGUGACAUAUAAAAAAGAAUCAAUAUAUAAUACGAUUAAGGAAUCUUGCGCUCUCCUUAAUCCGGGGUCCUACGUGGCCUAUCUAAGAAUUCAAGAUUUAAAAUCCCUGCAAUUCUAGAACUUCUGGCAUAAUAUUAGUCAUCCUAUGUGGCAAAAUAUAUCCUACAUGGCAUAUCUUACUUUAAACAAUCUCUUAAAACACAAAAUGAAUAUUUCUCUUCCUCAAAUUCAAUUUCCCUAACCCCCGUCUCCACACAGCUCUCCCUCCCCCGUCUGAUUCGCGUCACCGCCGCUGCAGGCGUCGUCGCUCCAUCUCCACACCAGACUCCCCCUUCGGCCCUUCCCUGCCCCUAUUCGCCGGCGGCGUGGCCACAGUCCAGCCCCAAGUUGCGCCGCCGCCCCUUCCUCCUAUCGUUUCUCUGACCUUUCUGCAUCUCCACACCAGCCGCUGCAUCGCUAAAAAUCCCUUCCCCCGCAAGCCCUCCGAUCAUCGCCGCCUCUUUCUUUCUUCAAUCGGCGGCUCCACCCCCCACCGCUCUCUCCGCCGCACAUUCACCCUCACCUGCCUCUUAAUUCCUCCACCAGAUUUCCACCAACUGCACUCGGAUUCCAGUCGCCACCGCCGCCUUCACCGCGCCGGCCACCUCCCUUCCCCCGCAAGCCCUCCGAUCUGCAUCGCCGCCUCUUUCUUUCUUCAAUCGGCGGCUCCACCCCCACCGCUCUCUCCGCCGCUCCCGCAGCCUCAGCCGCUUCUCCCGCCCCAUUGCGCCGGAGCCGGAGGCCGAGAUGGACUACAUCAAAAACGUGCCCAGGGGAAAAUUCGUCAACACCACGAGGGGCUCGACCUCGCUGGCACCAACCGCGAAUCGCCGAGCCCCUAGAUCCCCAAAGUCUCACCGCCUCUUUGUGAUUUCCGGCGACCACGGCAGCCAUGUCCGCCGAUCUGCCACCUCCCUUCCCCCAUAUGGUAAGUAUUAAAUGUUUGACUAUUUUAAAUAUAGAAUGAUUAUUAUUUUAGAAAGAACAAAUUUUGGAAAGAUUUUUAACAAUGGAAACAUAAACCCUAGAUUUUUAUGUUAAUUAAUUUUCGGUAGCUGCAAAGAAAUUUUUUUGGAAACAAUUUUAUCAAAGGAAACUUAAACCCUAGAUUUUCAUCUAUAAAUUCAUUAGUUGAAUUAUUAAAGAUACAGCAGACGCAAGGUAACCUUCUUCUUCUUCUUCUUCUUCUUCUUCUUCUUUUGUUGUCUUUCUUUUCUUUUGUAUUAACGCGGCAAUACCUCCUUCUUCUUUUUCUUCUUUUUUCCAGAUUUUUUGUUUAGAGGAUUAAGGGAUUGCUUACUUCCCUGUUUUUACAGCCACACAAGGUAUCUUUCUUUCUUCUGUUGCUGCGUUUUUUCAUCUUUUGCUCUUCUUGAAUUUCGACUGAAUUUGGUGGCUAUGUGUAGAUUAGUUGCUUUACAUUUCCUUUUAGUGAUGAAUAAGUUUUGGGCUUUGAACUUUUGCUCAUUUUGUGUUGAAUUGCUAUUGAUUCGUGGAUUGGAGUGUAGGAGGUCAAGUAUUAUCAAUCUAUAAUAAUAAGCACACGCACAUACCUUUGAACAUUUCUAAGAGUUUGAUUGAAUUUGGAAUCAGUAACUGGAGGUGAAGAAGAAACUUCUUGCCGCUGUGCUCCAAAACUCAACGAGGGCCGUCGUUCAACCUUGCCUCCCCUUCCUGAAGACCCGCCACUGUCCCUGUGCCGUCGUCGGAGACUCCUCUGCCUCGACGAAAAAGGCAGCCACCCCGGGCUCUCGCAAGUGAAAUGAGAGUCUCACACAAACAGGUAAACUAAUAAUUGUUUAUGUGUAGUAUGUUGGGAACAAGCUUAGAAAUUGAUUGAGUUCCACAUCUAUCACUUCUGUCUAUUGAUCAUUGCUUCUGGUAGGGGUAGUUUCGGAACCCAUGGUAUUCUGAUCUGGUGUUUUUCGAGAUGAUGAAGAACUAUAUGAUUGGUUUUGGUUGAAUUUGCGGAUCUGAUGGAUGAUUGAUUCGUUUAUUUUGUAAUUGAAACUGGUGCUUUCAAUUUUGUAUCUAAUUUUCAUAUAUUAGUGGUGCUUUCAAUUUGUCGUGAUUCUUCGUGUUUAUCAAAUACUUUUUUUAUUAAAUAUGAGGGCUGAUUUUCGAUUGAAGAUGGGCUGAUUUUCGAUGGGUGUUGAUGGGUGAUUUAAAUUUAAAUAUGGACAGGUUGGAUUGAAGAUUGAAGAUACGAGGGAAGAGGAAGAAGAGGAGGAGAAUGAGCAUGAUGAAUGAAGAGGGCUAACAUUUUAGUGUUGUUGCCUCUGCAAAUGGCCCCAAUCCGAAGUAGGAGAAAACCAAGAACGGCCCCAAUCCGAGUAGUCUGAAGCAGGAGAAAACCAAGAAGUUGAUCUCCAGCAGCGCCCCAGAUCAUACUGAUCCAAAGCUGUCAAGUUUGCUACCGAAAAAGAAAGUUAAACGGAAGCCUGAUGCCAAGGUGGUCGAAGCCACAUUCCGCCUCGAGAAGCUGGUGGUUUCGUAGGGCGGAGAAACGACAUUAACUUGAUAAUCACUUGGGUGUUGUUUAUCUGUGUAAAGCAUUGAACUACCGUUGAUAGUUGAUUACAGUUGAUAGUUGAGUAGUUUUUUAGUUAGAUUUUUUGUUAUGGUGUAUUAAUCUUUGUGGUAAUUUUUGUAAUUAUUGCCACUGAACUACAGUUUAUAGAGGAUUUUGAAGGUUCUCUAUUACAAGUUAGAUUAGUUGUAGAGCUCAUAGAUUAAAUUUGGCCGUCUCUUUUCUCUUUUUGUUGUGGGGAAGGUUGACUACUAUUUUAUUGGUGAAUUAUGGAUUUAUAAUAUAUAUAAAUAUAUUUUAAAUAAAAAAAUAAAAUGUAUUUUUGAAAGUAUCGUAUCAUGGUUUUUGAAAAAAUGACGUAUUUAUGUUCCCGUAUCGUUUUCGUAUUAUGUAUUCGUCCCCAUACUUCAUAGAAUUAUUAUUCUAUUAUUCAACUAAUAUUUAUCGUUAUUUUCAAGCCUUGGCGGGUAUCCGAUAGGUAGCGGGUGACGGGUAUCUGGCAGGUGGCGGGUGAUGGGUAUUCACGGGUUGCGGGUAUGAGUGUAGCAAUGCUCCUACCUCUCAAGUCUUAACGGGUAGCGGGUGAUGGGUAUUCACGGGUUGCGGGUAUGAGUGUAGCAAUGCUCCUACCUCUCAAGUCUUAACGGGUAGCGGGUGACGGGUAUUCACGGGUCGCGGGUAUGAGUGGCAAAUCUCAAGUCUUAACGGGUAGCGGGUGACGGGUAUUCACGGGUCGCGGGUAUGAGUGGCAAAUAGUAGUGGGUGGAAAUAAUUUUUUUUAAUGUACGUUUCACUAAGUCAUGUUAAGGAGAUUAGUUCUCUUUAAUUUAUUUUUUCAUUUUAGUUUAAUGUGUAAUGUAGACCUAUAUCAUAUUAAUAAUUUUUUAGUGAAUAAUCUCCAUAAUUUAUAAAUACAUUAAGAAAUAAUUUUACGCUUUUUAUAUAUAAUUAUAACAUCAAAUGAUACCCGUCGAAAUUCGACGGGUUACACACUAGUUAUUAAUAAACUUAUAUGAUUAUGAUAUCCUAAAUGAAUUGUACUCAANCAUUCAUGCAUGAAAUGAAGUAGGAUAAUUUUAUGCUUUUUAUUUUUUAUGUUUUUCUUAAUGAUUAUAUUUAAUUUUUUAUAUUUUGCAUCUAUAUUUAUUUUUGAAAAAAAAAUGUAGAGACUGUAACUUUUUAUAUUUUUAUUUUCUUUAUUCUUUACACAAAACACAAUUUUACUAUUUUGUGUGAUUUCAUAUGGAUAAUAUAUGCAUCUAAAUUAAAGAUCAAGGAAAAGUUAUAACAUAGUAUAUAUUUAAUCUGAUAUAAAUAAAUAUAUAAAAUAUAAUGAUAAAAAAUUGAACAACAUAUGAAUAUGUUAUAAUAGUUUAAAUUUUCAGCAUAUUAUUUGAAUUAAAUAAUUUUUAUUUUUAAUAUUUUUCUUAUAUAGCAUUGUAUAUAUUACUAGAUUUGAUUAUUAAUUACAACUUUGAAUUUAAAAGUAGUUACAAAUGUCACAUAUUUUUAAAAAUGCUCCCAUAUUAAAAUUAAAAAAAAUGUUAGUUUACUCUUUACAAAAAUAGAACAAUGAAUAAUUUGUUUUAAAAUAAUUAAUAUUAUAAACUAACUACUAAUUAAUACAUUACUUACAAACUUCAAGUUCUCAAGAAAAAAAAAUCAUUUUUUCAAGAUAAAAUAUGCGAUAUGUAAUUAUACAUCUUAAAUUUAAUACAGGUAUAAAUCAAUUUAAAAUGAGCAAGUUAUUUUUUUCAAGUCAAAAUGAGCAAGUUGACUGUUAAUAAUCUCUCUCUCUCUCUCUCUCUCUCUAUAUAUAUAUAUAUAUAUAUAUAUAUAUAUAUAUAUAUAUACAACACUGUUAAUUUCUUGAAAAGUUGAGAAUAGUACAACACUGAAACAUUCUUAACAUUUUGUUAUUCUUCUCAUCAUUAUUUUUAUAUAUUUAUGAUAUUUUGAUUUUUCGUAUCUAAUUAUUUUGCAUUGAAAAUUUGUUAAUAUGAAACAAUGUCAUUAUUAUAAGAAGAUAGUAUAAUACUUCCACCAUCUACGAAAACACUUUUAUCAUUUUGGGUGUCCAGAAAGCUAUAAUACUUUUCACUUUAAGACAUGAUCUCACAUCUUUUCUUUAUCUUUUAUUUUUACAAAUACCACUUAUUUAUAAAACAUAUCAUCCUUAAUUUAAUCUCAAGUGUUCAUUUUUUAUAAUGGUAGAACCUUUUUCCACUACAUAAAAAUCACCACUCAUUUUAUGAAAAAUUGUCUACCGAUAGUGUCAUAUUUUUGUUUGAAUUGAGGAAGUAUAUUGUAUGUGUAGAUCGCGCAAGUCUAGAAUCAUAACCACCGCGCAUCGCGCGGGAGAUACACUAGUUAUAUUAAUCAACAAGGUUAAUUUUAACUUAUAAGAUAGGUCGGGUAUAUAAUUUGUCGACUUCGAAGGUUUUCAGGAUGAAAUAUAUAAAGCAGAACUAUGUUUUCAUAAGUAAUUAUAAUUAUAAUUAAUUCGUCACUACGAUGUAUGAUAUUCAAGAAUGUGAACAAAUGAAAUACUUGUGGAUUUAGCUCAAUAUAAGUACAGAGAUUGUCAAUGUGACUGUGAAUAUGAACCGAAAUCAAUUGUAAAUUACAAAUUGUUGUGUGCAUAUAUUGAAAAUGAUAUGGGCGAUAAGGAAGAGAAGCAAGUGAUAAGAACGAUGAAGUAUACAACAAUAACCAUCACAUACAUACGAUAUGGAAAUAUUGCAUGUUUAUUGUGCAUAACGUCAACGUGUGGUGGAAAUGGAAUAUGAUUCCAGACGUCUUUCUUCUGACCAUUUCAUUAAUUUAAUUUAUACUAAUUAUUACAGUGGUCCAUGUUCGCCACUAUGAUAGAGGAAUCCAUAAUUAGUGCCAAAUUUAGGGGUCCUUUUCAUACACCUGGCACUUUAAUUAAUCUGAUUUUCUUGUUAUAAUAUUUCAUACUAUAAUUUAAUUUAUUUAUAUAUUAUAUAUGUAUGAAUUAUGAUUGCUUUAUCGCUCUUUAUUUUAGAAUCAAGCAUAUAUGAUGAACCUAAAUCGAAAAGUUGACUUCUGAUUAACAUGGAGUAUUUUAUCGUUGCGUUUGGUUUUGCCUAUUUUAUUCAUACUUCGUUUUGGAGUUCUUAAAAUACGUAACAUUACAUGACGAUGCACUCACAGUUUAAGAUACUAUAUAUUUGAGUACGCCUUUAAUAUUUCUAAAAGGAUUAGGUAAGCCCACAAGCAUACAAAUAAGUCCUUAAGAAGUUUUCACUGAUAUGAAUUAACCCAAGAGUGUUUAUUUUGCAUGAUUCAUAAAAUAUAUGAUUAAGUAUUUUUAUUUUCAAAAAUAGAAUUUCUCUAAUCACACCUUUUCAAUAGAAUAUGAAUCAAGUCAUAUUAGUUUAAAUCAUAGAAAUAAUCAAGUAUUUUAGGAUAUCUCAAAGUUUCAAUUCAUCAAUGUAAACAAAAAAUUAGUCUUAUUAUUUUUACUUGUCAAGGUUAAUCCUCCAAAGUAAACGCUCUCUCAAUAAAUAAAAAAUACUAGUACUCAUUCUAUCUAGUAAAAAUGAUAGUAUUUUUUUGUUGGGUUAUCCAAGUAUAUAUAAUGGUCUAUUGGACUAUAACUAGAAUUUAAUUGAAAAUUUUAAGGAACCCUUUAUAUAUUACUCUCUCUCUACUUUUCUGCAUUGUCGUCUUUCGCCUCUCUUCCCUCGCUGCCUCUAAUUUGACCGAAUGAGCCUUUCCAAAAUUUCUUCUCUAGCUUCUACUAGUGUGUUUUUUGAAAAUCUUUUAUUUGAUUUUUGUUUCUGGAUCUAUUUUUUUUCCCCUUAAAAUUUUUAGAUAUUAGAAGGAAUUUGGAUACUAAUGCACAAGGGUUUGAGAUUUUACUUGAGGACUUUGUUUGUGCCCCGGAAUUGUGGAGCUGAAAAAUUGAAUGGCUGGAAAAGUAGACCUUUCUGUUUAAUGGUGUUUUGCUAUUUCUUCAAUUCGAUUUGAGUUACAUAAUUCUUUUGAAUUUCGAUUUGAAUUACUCUUGAAUUCGUUGAGCACGACGACUUCAUUUCGCUGAACUCAGCUGCUUUGGCAGGCGGAGAUGGUGUGUGUAGGGUGGAGCUAGGGAGACAACGAGGAAAGACGAUAAACGAGACGUCGACAGACAAGGCGAAGGAAUGCCUACGGCGUCGGCCUCUCCAGUUUUGAGAGCACACUAUAAAAAAAAUGCUAAUAGACAACGGUCAGAACUCGUUGUCUAUUACAACAACAACUGUUGUAAAUGAAAGCAUUGUCUAUUGAGGGACGGUCAUAGACGAAGGUCUGAAAACCGUUGUCUAUUCUCUAAUAGACAACGGCUGGGCUAUAAAUCGUUGUCUAUCAACGUAUAGACAACUAUUUUCAAAGUCCGUUGUCUAUAUCCAGUUGUCUAUUAGCUGAAUUCUUGUAGUGACAGCGGCGACGGUGAAAUUUUUAGGAAGAAAGAGUUCUUUGAUUAAUAAUAAUUUAAUAUCAAUUAAAUAUAACACUAAAUAUGUGGACCACACACCUUUCCCUUUAAUUUUACUCUUCUAAAUAUAUGUGCCCAAAAGAAACCAUCAAUACUGGGACGUAUGGAGUAUAAGUUAAUCAUUGCUUAUUAAGAUAAAUUGAUUUGAUAUAUUCCAAUGUCCUAUAUAAUUUCUAUCAUUUGAAGCGAUUUGAUUUAUAUCUUAUUAAAAAUGUGCGAUUGGAAAAUCGUUAAUAAUGAAGAAAAAAAAUAGUAAAUUCACUUAAUGUUAUACACUCUCCAUCUCAUUACAACUGUCACUUUUCAUAAUGAAAUGUCUCAUUAACUAAAAAAAAAAAUUAUUACACUCAAAGAAAGGAAAAACACACUCACACUUGGAGAAGCGUCUUACCAGCAGACUGCGCUUCAUUAUCAUGAAAUGUCUCAUCAUAAAUAUCUCAUUUCUUUUUUAGCAAUCUAUUAUCUCUCUAUCCCUAAUACUUAAAUAAUUUCCACUAACCCACUUUAUUUACUUUCUACACAUUUCUUAAUCUUCGUUCCCAAAAGUAAUGAGACAUUUGUAAUGGGACGGAGCGAGUAAUUAUGAACAUAAAAUUUACCACAUCAUAAAAGUUUCUAUUUUCUUCUAAUAUUUUAUAUAUUGAUUUUAAAUUUUAAAGAAUUAUGGACUUAUUUGUACCUAAAAAACUUUACGGACUUGAUCGUUUGAGGAAACAUUGAGUGUGUAUUUGACUCUUUAAUUUCUCUUAUAUAAAAAUAUAUCAUCAUCUUAUUUCAAAAAUAAAUUAUAUUCCGAUCGGGCCAAUUACAUAUACUAUAUAGAACAUAAUUUAAGUUCCUCCUAAAUUUAAAAUACUUGGCUCAGUUGUCAAGCAUACAAAAAUUGUCUGCAACCAAGAAAGAGAAUAGUUUAAAGAUUGGAGCAUCUCUAUUUGCGUAUCGUGUUUUUUUAGGCAAACAAAACUUCCACAACUUUUUUUUUAAUAUGCUUUAUUUUGAAGUUUGAAAAGGAUUCUUGCCAAAGGUAGUAGUAGCAAAUUUCGGGUGCGUACUAAUUUUCACAACUCAAAGUUCGAAACUAUUAUUUUUAAUAAUCGAUUUUUUUAAUUGUAUCGUUUCAAUGAUAUUAGAAUCAAGUAAAAUUAACUUAAAUGAUAUAAAUAAUCAAAGAAUCUUGGAAUUAGGACCAAUUCAUCGAAUUUUGAGCUAGAACUAUCGAGUUAUCGAAUUAUUCAAGUGCGGGUUAAUUAAAUUUUAAAAAAAAUUCGGAUUCGAAAUUUUCAAUCCUAACCCUAGACGUUCAGAUUUCAGCUAAUCGGGCUCGAAAAAAUAACGAGAAAAAUAUCAUAUAAUCAAAUAAACACAUUAUUUUCAGGUCAACCCUAUAAGAUUUGGGAUUACUUUCGGACCAAUUCUAUCAGGUGUCGGACUAUUCGAUUACGGAUUAUUCAGGCUGUAAUUUUAUCGGGUUGAAAAUUUUCAGUAAUAUCUCAAUCUUGCCAUACUUGCAAAACCUUUCCGCAAGCUGGCCUCAUACAUUACAAAUUGCAUCUGCACAAACUGUUUUUUCAAAAUCACAUUAAAUUGACUCAAGUCAUUUGAUACGAGAUUAAAAAAAAUACUUUCUACAAAGCGAGCCUUGUAGUCCACCGAAUUUCGCAUGAUAAAUUGAACUGGUUUCAUUAUUUGUCUAAACUCUUAUAGUCAACUUACUUAGGGCUCGUUUGGUUUUCAAUAAAGGAUUAUGUAGGAUAAUUUGUAAUCAUGAUAUUUAGCGUGGAUAAUGACAGAUUAUUAAUACUGAGUUGGUGUUUGCUAUCAUGGCUAAAUACAGAAUAUCUUGGUUUAAGUUAAUCCUGGGGGGAGGUGGUAUUAUUAAUCCUAAGAAAUCUGGAUUAAUAAUACUGGGUCGUGGGAUUAAACUGGGUCAUCCGCAUUAUUACUAAAUAAUACCAAACACUAGACUGAUCUGUACUAAAUUAGCUAAUACAGUGUAUUAGCCAAUAUCAAACACGCCCUUAAUGCAUUAGUAAGUGUGAUGUCAAUCAGAAGACUUUUUCGUUAUCUUAUUGACUCAUUAUUAGUAAGUUGUUCAAUAUUUUUUUAAAAACGAGAAAAAUAACGAAAAAUUGUAAAUUAGUGUAUUUUCCGUCAUACACAUCAGUACAUAUUCGCUUCGAGAUCAACAUAUGGUGGUAGAAAAACUAAAUGUUGUUAUUUCUUGACAAAAAGUGCCCCAAGUCUUUGGACCAAACAUACUUGUAAGUAUUUUAAUAGCAAAAAAGGUCGAUUUUUUCGCUUAUGAAUCUGUCACGAUUUAGCGUCUAAGUUCGUCCACUCAAUUGUUCAUACCAAGAACACAACAAUUUAGUUUGAUUUAUGGGCAAUGUUCAUUAAUGACUACGAGAUCUUUGGGGCUGUUUUCUUAGCAAAGACCAUAUAAUUACUUUCACACUUGAAUAAAUUAUGUGAGGUUAAGAAUGUAGACACUUAAAUUUCACGAAAGAAAAUAAUUUUUAUUAAUUUGAUAUCUUUAUUUAUUUUAAAAUAUCAUAAUAUUCAUGAUUAAAUAUGUUACAUUAUUGAAAGAUAUGUUGUCAUAUCUUAAAAGUUUAGAUCAAUUUCUUUGGCAACAAGUUAAAUUUUAAUACUAAUAUAUAUAGAUCUUUAAGAAUCCAAAGCUCUAAACUCCCUACAACUAUAAAUAGAGAUUUCCAAAUACCAAUUCUAAACACAUCAAAUCUUAAAAAAUCGAAACUCUAAAUUUUUUGUCCCGUCGAAGUUCAAGACCUUCUUUAUGAAAUCAACCUAAAAAGCUCAAGUCAAAUCUAAAACUUAAAUCAAGCCCAACAUUCGAUUUGAAAGCAAAAGCUCAAAUCAAACUCAACAUUCGAUUCGAUCUGAAAAUAAAAAUUCAAAUCACACCCAAUAUUCGUUCCAAAAACAAGGCGAAAACUCUCUAUAUCAACGUUAUAAAAGCCAAAGCUCAAGUCAAACCUGAAGCUUAAAUCAAGUCUAGUGUUCAACUCGGAAAACAAGACGGAGGCCCUCCAUAUUAACGUUAUAAAGCCCACGUACGAUGCAAAAAUAAGGCGAAGAUCUUCCACAUCAACGUUAUAAAGUCUCAAAGCUCAAGUCAAGUCCAACGUUAAAUCCUAAAAUAAGAUGAAAGCUCAAAGAUCAGCUCCAACAAAGUUCAAAGCUCAAGUCAAGCCCACCGUUAAAUUCCGAAAUAAGGUGAAAGCUCGAAGUUCAACUCUAAAAAGAUCCACCAACAAAUUUCAAGGACUAUUCAAAAACAUGAAGAGAAGAACCAUCCAAAGAUCACCGUAAAGAGAAAAAUGAAAUAGUAAAAUAGAGAUAACUAUUUGUGUUUUAGAUAUUAAAAUCAUAUGUAAUUUUAUAUUUAUUAAAUUAAAUAUAUAAAUUUGUGUUUACAAAUAAAUAGAUGGACAAUGAGAUAUCAAAAUUUGUCAACUGGAUCUGUAUCAAUUUGAUUGUCAAUUAUUUAUCGAAGUAAAAAAAAAUGUAAGAGUUGCAUAAAAAGAAAAAUUAUGUAAGAGUUACAAAUACGUCGCUUGAUAUCGAUUUUAAAUUGGAAUCUUAUCUCUUUUUAGGUGAGGAAAAAUAAUAACAUUUGACAAUUCGAAAGAAUGUAAGGUAUAAGUACUUUUAUCACAAUUUUAAAGAAUUCUAUAGACAAAAUGAUUAUUUCCUCAUACAAAAAUAAAUAGAAAUAUAUAUAUAUAUAUAUAUAUAUAUAUAUAUAUAUAUAUAUUAUAUAUAAAUGGGCGGGCCAAAAAAGCCCGAAAACCCCGGGCUUAAAAGCCCGAAACUCGGUAAGCCCGACGGGCCAAAAACCCCGGGCUUUUAGGCCCGAUUUUUUUUGGGCUCUAUUUUUUCAAGCCCAGCUAUUAGACACCCAAACCCACCGCAGACUUCAUCCACAUUCCUCCUACGAAACCCUAGAUCCCCUUUUCUGACUCAUCCGUCUUACGAUUUCCGACGAUCUCAGCAGCCUCCAUGGAGCUCUUGACUUAAUUAAAACUCAAGAAAGUUGGCAACCUAAAUAAGUUUGGAGAUACAAGGGGAGGCCGCAACGAAGUGAGAGAGGGGGGCGGAGGAAAUAGCGGCGGUGGGAGAUGGGGAAAGGGGAAGUGUCUGAUGGAGGUGGAGAAAGGGGGAGAGCCGACGGAGGUCGAGAUUCUGGGCAGAUCUGGGCGGUUGUGGCGGUGGUGAAGGAAGUGAGAAAGAAGGUAAGAGCCAACGGGGAGAGGGGGGAGGGGGAUGGGGAAGGGGGAGAUAGAGGGUGACGUGGGAGGGGGAAGAGAGAGAUAGGGUGACGUGGGGGGUGGGUGUGAUUUGGCAUUUCUGAUGCCACGUUGGCAUUCCGGCUGCCAAUUCAAAUUUAAUUUGGCCGAAAAAUUUAUCUGGACAUACAUUGCAACAAAUUGAAAGCUUGCUGAAAUUUUUACAACAAUUAAAAAGAUUGUCAAAAAAUAAAAUUUUGAUUAAAGUGGGGUAUUUCCAUGCAAUUUGCUCUUCUUUUUUCGCGUGGAUUUUAGUGAUUUUUUUUUAUGAAAAAUAAAAAUAACAAAUAAAUUAAUAAAAUCUAUAAAUAAAUCAAUAUAGCUCACGAAUGAUCGUAUUCAUUUAAUAUGUUGAAAAUAUAGUCCCUAAAAAAUUCAAUUUCAAAUAAAAAUAUAUAUUUAUACGUUAUAUUAAUUAAUUUGUUCGUAAAAAGUAUUAACUUAUUUGGACGUAUUCUCGAUUUACAAUAUAUUACACCUGUGAUUGAACGUAAAGUUGAUGGCACAAGAGACACGAGUGAUUGGGGUGCAGAGUCUGGGGACCAAAUUAUGAAAGAACCAACGGCGUCACCGGAUAUUUCGCAACUUUUACUACUACGACAAAUCCACAUAUAAUGGCAUCAUUAAUUAAUUAUUAAGAGUUAUUCUUAUGCAAAAUGAAAAUAAAAAUGUAAAGAGUUAUUUUUGAAUUAUUAUCUGAACUGGUUUUAUUAUGAUUUUCAAACCUAAAUUUUAAAAUAUUAUAAUUAUAACUUUAGUACAUAUCUUCAUUAUUUACGGUCAAAAUUUUCGACCAACUUAUAUAUAUUAAAUUGUUCUAUCUUCAAAAAUCAGACAUCAAAACUAGUGAUAUAUUUUUAAGCAAUUUAAAAUAUUUUUUUUGACUUGAAGGAGGGAGAACGGUGGAGUUUAAACCCUAAACCUCGUUAUUCGUAAACAGGAGUUCGCACCACUUGAAGACACUUAAAACUAGUGAUAUGUCUUUAAACAACUUAAAAUAUUUUUUAAACACCGAAAAAAUCAACAAAAAUUCUCUUAAGAUUUCUAAACAUUGUGACUCGAACUAUUAAGCGAAUAACAACGAUAAGUAUAAGCUAUAUUUGUAAUAUUUUUAAGUUCGAACUAAAAAGUUAUCAUAUAUAUAGUCAAAACUCGAACUAUAAUAUAUAUGUAAAAAUAAUCAUAUUAUUAAACGAUUUUUAGCCUCUCUUUUUUCUUGAGAUUACACACACUCACACACGCACACUUAAUAAUCUCUUUAGAUUAUUCGAAACCCAACCUAGCUAGCUAGUAAUAUAAAAAAAUCAUUUUACCAAUUUAUAUCGAAGUCGACUAACUUUUGUAAAUGAAAUGCACUAUACAUUACACUUGUGUCUUGACUAUAGAACUUUUCCAAGGCAUGCGUGUAUUAUGAUAUAUAUGUGUGUGUAUCAUGAAUAUUGAAUAAGUGCAAUCCCAUUAAGGGAUUGGUGCGUGACGACUCAUUCNACUUACUAUAUAUAUUAUACAACUAUAUUCAUGUAAAUUAUUCACAUUUUAGGGGGAAAAGAUUUACAUAAUCCACAAAAGAUAAAAGUAAAAUAGAAAAGAAAAUGUAUUGGGUCAGAUGAAGCGAUUUGGGCAUUGUAUAAGCCCAAUAUUGGCCCAGAUCCAGUUUUGCACAUCACCGACAUCUCAUACUUGUUCAAAUGUAAUAAUUCAAUGUGUGGUCGUGCUGGUUCAGCGAUAGAUGGUUAAUACACAAAGUUUGAAGUUCUGUGUUCGAGUUCAUCAUCCUUCGAUUUAUUUAUUCUUUUAUUUAUUUGUGCAAUUUAUGGAAAAGAAAAUCAUGCAUGAUCAGUCCAAUCAUCAACUUUGACAUUUAAUUUGUAAUCGAUAAAUACAGUUCUCAUGCGUAAGAUAAUUAAAUCAAUCAUUAUUAAUAAUUAAAAAAAACUCUUCAUUCAAAAUAAAAACCCUCUUCGGAUCUUCCUUCCCUCAUGCGUAAGAUUAUUAAAUCAUUAACUAUUCAUAAUUCAAAAAAAAAAAAAACUCUAUUCAUAAUUCAAAAUAAAAAACUCUUCCUUCCCUCCUGUAUAUUAAUGUUAUUCAAAUUAUCUCUAUUUUUACUUAGCGCAAUUCUUCCCAUUUUUGACAAAUUUUAAAACCCGGCUUCACAUAGUAUAUUAUAUAGAUUUCUUUGCGAUUGUGUUUACUUUGAUAGAUAAAUUUAUCCAUGAAAAAAGUAGGAUAACAAAAAUUUAUGCCUUAAAAUGUCUUCUUUCUUUUCUAACAUUUGACACACAAAAGAGAUGUUCAUCAUUUUUCCUUCCUUAUUUUCACUUCAAGGAUGGAUAAUAUUAUCCACUAAAAAAUGGAUGGAUAAUUAUUGGGUCUCGAAGGGUUGACUGAACAGGUGUAUGGGCUAUUUUUCGAAUCGAAAACACAUAAACCAAAACUUCAGUUGGAAAGUGGUUGUAGAUUGAUACUGAAGUAAAUUCAGUAUUUUGAUUUCAGUCAAGCACAGAGCUUUUACUGAUAUCCACGUGAAGCUUCAGUCUAGAGUUUUGUAAAACAGAGUGGAGUUACAAAUCUUACAAACUAUCAAUUGAUUGAUGAGUUAGACUAAUAACUCAGCAGAGGAAAUUUAAACUUAAUCCAAAUAGCCUUUAGCAAGUUUGUCACUUAAUAAAAUCCUUAGUUUACUUUUCAGUUAAGCAAGUUCAGUUAUAAAACAAGUUUAACGCAACUAGGGAAAUAACUUAAAGCAGAUAAAAAAUACAAAGAUUUUUACGUGGUUCGAAAAAUAAAUUCCUACAUCCACGGUCAGAUGAUUAGUCUGACAAACACUCUAGACUAAUGCUUACGGGUGCACAACAAACUUUGAAUUGAAUAUCAAAUUUUCAGUACCAACACACUGGGUUGGAUUUCUUGCUCGCUCUUAGCACGCUAAGACACACAAAUGCCUUUGUAGCGCUUGGCUGAGAUCUCUGGAGUUAGAACACUGGUCUGAACUCCUCUCUACUCAAACACUCUUUUCGCUCGGUUAAAAGGGGUUUGAAAUCUUCCAACUAAGAUUACUGAGAACAGGCUCUCAAGUAAUCGAUUAUAAGCUUAGGAUACAACAUGGGUUGCCUAGAUUUCUAAGAGAGUUUAGAUAAUCAGUUAAACUGAUUUUACAACAUUUGAGUACUUUCUUCUUCGAUUCAAAGUUUUGUCUAAGUUAAGGCUGGCUGACGAUUUUGACAGAGCUUCAGCGUAAGUCUUUGAAUCGAUGAAGAUUGAAGGCGAUCCUCGAACUCUAUUUAUAGGUGAAGUCCCAAAUAUAUCCGUUGGAGAUAUGGUCUUCAGGAUUUCAGCCGUUGUGAGAUGUUCCGUACUUUGGGCUGAGGCUUCAAUCUUCUUGGCUCCUGAUUGGUUGAAGGUUUGAACCAUUUUAGUCCUUGGAGCAUGGUGCUUCUGAACUUUAGCAUGAAAAAGGAAAGUUGGUGUACUGAAAAGGACGAUUUUCAUAUCUGGCACAUUUAAUGCUGUUGCAGAAGCAUUUAAUGCGUGUGCCAGCGUUUCAGUCUGAUGUAGAAUGUUGACUGAUAAACUCAAGUCGAAGGUUCGUUGUUUACACGUGUUUGCACAUGAUACUUAAGUUUAACUGAAGAAUCAAUUAGAGCUCUUGUCCUUCGCUUGAGCAGUCAUUGUCUUCAAUUAUAUUAUCUUCCUGUUUAACUGAACGUCUUUAGUUCACGAUGUCUUUUAAAUUACCAGUGUCUUCCUUCAGUUGUUCUAUCUUCAGUUGAGCUUUGAUCUUCUAAGUCUUCAGUCUUCAGUUUCUCUGGUCUUCAACAUGGAGAAACUUCAGUUACCUGUAACCUUCGGUCUAGCUAAAAGAUUGAACUCUAACAGUUGAGUUCAAAUACAGAGCUAGUCUAGGAGAAGAGAAAACUAAGGGUUUUAGGAUCAUCAAAACUGGGAUAGGAUAUUUAUUCUAUUUUCAACAAUAAUAUUAUCCAUCCUUGAAGUGAAAAUAAGGAAGAAAAAAUGCUUUUGUGUCAAAUGUUGGAAAAGAAAGAAGACAUUUUAAAGCAUAAAUUUUUGUUAUCCAUCAUUUUCCAUGAAUAAAUUUAUCCGUCAAAGUAAACACAGCCUACAUUAACUCCCUUCCCUUAUUCAAGAGAGAUAUCACUCUAAAAAGAGAUAAACACGUGUAUAUCCAUUCUCGUAUAAUAAAAAUGUAAAUCACAUAAGAGAAGUGGACUUCCUCAAAACAUACGUGUAACAACUUGCAAAUCACAAAUAGAAAACAAAACCAUACAUGUAAUUGCAUUAUAGAGAUCUCAUACGAGUGACUCAAUAUUUAAAGUGUUCGACAAUUAGAGCAUCCACAUUAAUUGAGUUAAACUUUGAUUCAUCCGUAUUUUAAGAUCACUUAUGAGUCGAGGACUGUACAAAUUUGACUUAUUUUACUGACUUUAUAAAAUUUGUUUUGACUUUUGAUAUUUUUAUUUAUUUUAAACGAUUAAAUCUACCUCUGCAUCGACGGACUCCCAUCGAAUCAGACGAUAUGGAUGUUAUUACAAAUUUUAGGCAUUUAGAUAGAGCUGUCAAAAUCAAUAUCUCUCUGUCCCAUUUAUCUUGACACUUUUACUUUAGACACGAAGAUUAAGAAUAAAUGAUUAAGAGUGUAAAGUGGGUAGUAUUCAUUUAUUUUAUGUUUAUAGAGAAGGUAGAGAUCACGUAAUAGUUUUGAAAAGUGCAAACUUAAAAGAAGUGGGAUGAGAUAAGUGGGACGGGAGGAAGUAGUACCCAAAAUGUUAUUGUGUCUCGGGGAAAAUUGGAAAUGGAAAAAAAAAUAUCAAUUCGGUUUUAGGUCGUGGACCGGAGCGGAGCGAUCCAGUAGGUCGGUAGAGGAUGGGAAAUAGACAGUGACGUGUAUUAUGUGGAAGAGCAGGAGUAUGGGCCAGAAGAAAGCCCAUCGCAGGGAAUUCCUGCUCUGCCGGCCCUCCACCCCAACUAUCCUGGUACUAAAAUCACAGCCAGUGACCGGAAUCUCAUCCUCUCAUAAAACCGUCUACAUUCAUUCCCCCUCUCCUUCUCGUCUCGUCUCGUCAAACCCACGCUUCUCCUCCUCCUCCUCCUCAUAUAUUACUAUUAUACUCCCUCUUUCAUCAUCAUUAACCUUUUCACUAUUUACAUCUCGAUUUCUCCAAUUAUCUCUCCAUUUCUCAUUUUUCUUUCUAUGGAACCUUCCGUCACAGUUGACGCCGCUCCUUUCUCCUGUAGCUGUCCCUGCUGUCUGCUCUCUUGAUUCUCACUUCUUCCGUGCUCGAUUUCAAUCUCUGUAGGAAGCAUUACUUCUCACUUCUGUUGUUUAUAUUAGCUUGUUUUUAAUUGAGUUUCUGGUUAUGGAUUUGACUCAACCGCCGGCAAACAAAGGUCUUUCGCUAGGGUUUCUGUCCCACGCAUCUGAUACGCCUCCGUUGGUGAAAAGCAACCGGAUCCCUAGCCCUAAAAUCGCCGACGAUUCGAUUUCUUUUCAGAUCGAGUCGCGCAGUAGGGACCCUUCGCAUCCGCUGCCGCCUGUUCCACUUCAAUUGAUGGACCAGCAGAAGGAGAAUCACCAUAAUUAUUUUCGUGGGGGCAACGAUUUGAAUGAAACUAGGGAUGUUGAGGAGGAAGAGGAUGAGGAGAAGUUGGAGGAGUUUCGCAUUUUGGGGCACUCGAUGACUCUGAAGCGGAAGCGCGACUGCGACUCAGGCUGGUCAUCGGCGUCGCCACCUUCCUCCUCCAAGGGGGUUAGGGUUUCGUCGAACAGCGACAUGGAAUCUCGGAGGAUGGCUGUCCGGUCGUGGGGGAAUCAGAGCUUGCGGGAUGCUGACCCGGAUAUCUUUGAGAUAAUGGAGAAAGAGAAAGGGAGGCAGUUCAAAGGGAUUGAAUUGAUUGCCUCUGAGAAUUUUGUGUGCAAAGCUGUGAUGGAGGCGUUGGGCAGCUACCUUACUAAUAAGUACUCUGAAGGAAUGCCUGGUGCGCGGUAUUAUGGUGGGAAUCAGUACAUUGAUGAGAUUGAAACACUGUGUUGUGAGCGUGCCUUGACUGCUUUCAGCCUUGAUUCCGAGGGUUGGGGUGUAAAUGUACAGCCGUAUUCAUGUACAUCUGCAAAUUUUGCAGUGUAUACUGGGCUUUUGCUUCCGGGUGAUAGGAUAAUGGGAUUGGAUACACCUUCCGGAGGGAACACGAGUCACGGGUGCUAUUUACCCAAUGGGCGAAAAAUGUCUGGAGCCUCGAUCUUUUUUGAGAGUUUGCCUUAUAAGAUUAAUCCGCAGACAGGCUAUGUAGACUAUGAUAAGCUUGAGGAGAAGGCACUUGAUUUUCGCCCCAAGAUAUUGAUUUGUGGUGGAAGUUCGUAUCCUCGGGAGUGGGAGUAUGCAAGGUUGAGGAAGAUAGCAGAUAAAUGCGGUGCUGUGUUGUUGUGCGACAUGGCUCAAAUUAGCGGCCUUAUAGCUGCUAAGGUGAAAUUCUUUAUUCCUUCUUACGAGUUGAAUUUGUAUCUUUUGUAAGUUUUGCUACUUUACUUUUGGAGCACUUUCUUGUGAAUUUUGUUUCGUGUUGUCCAUUUUGUUGAAUAAUUACUUUUGUUUUCUAAAUUCUGAAGUAUUGAUUAUGCAAGUUGGUUUAGAGAUAAAAAAUCAAUUUAAUUUAUGAACAAGUAGUUUAUUUUUUAAAUCCUUUUAUUUUUGGGAAAUUUUCGUACUUAUCCAGCCUGUAUGCAUAAUUAGCAUGGCAUGGCAUGGCUUCCUUUAAUGAUUUCUUGGGUCAAAGUGAAUUUUAUCCAAUGGAACAUGCGGUAUGCAUUAUUUUUGUAGCUUACUGGUUUACCGGUUUGGAUGCAUUUACUUUAGGAUUCUACCAUUUUAGUAGAAGCCAAUGAUUCAAUACGUAUUCCUCAAAAUUUAUCUUUCUUAUACAUUUUCUUAUCAAAAUUUUCCGUACUGGUCUUGUAAUAAUUUAUCCAACUCUCUUUAAAUGCCAGAGCUUGCUUUCUACUUUUGAUUAGAUGCCCUUUUCCUGUUCUUGAUUACACGAUUUAGCAUUUAAUAUAAUCAUUUUGUUGCAGGAAUGUGCAAGCCCUUUUGAAUAUUGUGAUAUUGUAACCUCUACAACUCAUAAAAGUCUUCGAGGACCUAGGGGAGGAAUUAUUUUCUACAGAAGGGGCCCAAAACUUAGAAAGCGAGGGAUGCAUUUGAAUCAAGGAGAUGGUGUUGAUAAAUAUGACUUUGAGGAGAAGAUAAACUUUGCUGUUUUCCCUGCAAUGCAAGGUGGGCCGCACAAUAAUCACAUUGCAGCGCUUGCCAUAGCUUUGAAACAAGUGGCUACUCCCGAGUACAAGACGUACAUGCAACAAGUGAAGAAAAAUGCUCAUGCUUUAGCAUCAGCUUUGAAGAAAAGGCACUGUAAACUUGUAACUGGGGGCACUGAUAAUCAUAUGCUGAUAUGGGAUCUAAGGAAUUUUGGAGUGACAGGCAUGAAUUCCACAUCUUGCCUUUCUUUUUAACUUACAGAUUUCUCUUGUUCUUUCUCUUGGAUCUUGCUGGCCUGUUUGUGGGAUUAGGUUCUGCAAACAUUCUACUUUACUUUUUUAAGAAGUGAGUGUAGGAGGCGAGAGAACUAAAAUUUGGACUGCUUGUUAAAGAAUAUUUGUUCCAUGAUCCUUCUGUGUAUCUGGGACCUUUGAAGAAGCUUGAAGUUUGUGUGUUUUGCUAACAUACAUGCUACUGUAGAAAUUUGUCAGAAGGAAUAUAUCAAUGUAUAUAUGGUUUCUUUUUGUGAAAUUGUGUAUCGCCUUUGUCUGUGGUUUGUUUCUUUUAGUUGUCUUGAUUGUGUAACUAUUAAAGUGAGAGAUGAAUCAUUUGGCGCUUCUAGCAGAAUUGAGUUUAUUAAUUACUAUCUGCUGGUGUAACUGUUGGAGCACGUCAUAAUCUUUUCCAUGCUUUUGAUGAUAUGCAGGCUAUAUUCUUGAGAAGAUCUGCGAGUUGUGUCACAUUACGCUCAAUAAAGUCACAAUCUUUGAUGACAAUGGCAAUAUCACCCCAGGAGGUGUAAGGAUUGGUAAGUCCAUUUAAACUCCAGUUAAUGGGUGUAUUUUUAAGUUCUGAAAAUGGUUUAUGCAGUGAUUUUGUGCUGAUGAGUGAUAAGUUGCCAUUAUAUUCCCACAGGUACUCCUGCAAUGACAUCAAGAGGUUGUGUUGAGUCUGAUUUUGAUGUUAUGGCCGACUUUCUCCUCCAAGCUGUACAUAUUGCUAGUUCAGUGCAGAGAGAUCACGGAAAACUGCCAAAAUCUUUCCUGAAGGGGCUCGAGAACAACAAAGAAAUUGUUGAGCUCCGAGCACGAGCAGAAAGUUUUGCUUCUCAAUUUGCUAUGCCUGGAUUUGAUUGAUGAUUUGGUCUCCAGGGAUGGGUUAUGGUCAGAUGAAUCCAUUUGUCUGUCCAAGUCUCGUGACUUGUACAAUACAUGGUAACGUUUCGUUGACACUCAAUUUUUUCUUAUGGCCAUUUUGUGUGCUUGGCAUACGCUGACUGAAUUACGGAUGUGCCAUGAUGCUAGUCAUUGUGCCUGUGGAAUGCUGACAUGUUGGAAUGCCAACGCGUUCCCCCUAGGUAGUAAGACACGUUUGAGGUCAUUUUUGAAUCGUUGCCUGGGGGCUGGAGGGACGACCUUAUUAUCCGCUAUUAUUUAGUCCUGGUGACUCAGGGUUCAUAUUUUGUGUAAAGUUUUUAUACUUGCUAUUAUAUAAAGAGUUCACUUGAUCAUUGAAUUUGUUGGGGCUGGGGGAUUGUUAUGUCUUAUUAUUAUUAUAUAUAUGUAUGUAUGUGUACGAUUAUCAGGUGAUUUUAUGUAUUUGUAAAAGGAGAUUUUGUCACAUGCAACUGCGGCUUUUAGAUUACUAGUUUAGGGCAAGUUUGGGACACCUUCAAAAUCAAAAGGUUAUGUUCAUUCUCUCUCUCUCUCUCUCUACCCCAUCUCUAGGGUAUGUGGUUGAUCGUCCAUUAAAAUUCUCAAUUCCAAAGGGUAUCAUUUGAAGAUCGUAUUCUGUUCGAAUCUUGCUGAACUUCUCUCUCCAUUUUCCGUUAAUAGUUCAACUUCUACACCGUUUUUGUAUUAAAUUAUACCUAUGAAACAAGCAAAAUUGGCCGGAAAACCAAUUUCAAUCGGAGUAGCUCUAUUGGGAUUUUGUGUAAAUUCAAUUUUUUAACAAGUUUCAACCUCUGGCAUUACAAAAAUUAUUUUACACGUGUUUCAACGUCAAAGCACACUAAAUUUGCAAUGAACCUAUUCAAUUUUCAAAUACCAUAAAAAGUGUAAAUUACACAUAGUUCUCGAU